UCUCACUUUGACAAACGGUGAGA
rnacentral:snRNA from 1 species